UGGCGGAGGGUGAGUAGUGUCUGGGAACUGCCCGAGUGGGAGGGGAAUAACUACGGGAAACGGUAGCUAAUACCGCAUAACGUCUGCGGACCAAAGCGGGGGACCUCCGGGCCUCGCGCCAUCAGAUGAACCCAUAUGGGAUUAGCUUGUAGGUAAGGUAACGGCUUACCUAGGCGACGAUCCCUAGCUGGUCUGAGAGGAUGAUCAGCCACACUGGGACUGAGACACGGCCCAG
rnacentral:rRNA from 1 species